GACGAACGCUGGCGGCAUGCCUAACACAUGCAAGUCGAACGGAGAUUCCUUCGGUAUUCUUAGUUGCGAACGGGUGAGUAACGCUUGGUCAACCUGCCCUCUAGAUGUGGACAACAUCCCGAAAUGGGUGCUAAUACCGUAUGUUACAGCAAUCUCGCAUGAGGAUUCUGUGACAGUUGUCCUCUAUUUAUAAGCUAUCUCUAGAGGAUGGUCCUGCGUCUGAUUGGCUAGUUGGUGGGGUAACGGCCUACCAAGGCGAUGAUCAGUAUCCGGUCUGAGAGGAUGAACGGCCAAAAUGGGAAUGAGAAAAGGCACAGAAGGCUAAGGGAGGGAGAAGUGGGGAAACUUGCGAAAUGGGGGAAAGACAGAAGGAAAAAAGCCGAGGGAGUGAUGAAGGAAGUCGGUGCGUAAAGCACGUUUGUUUAGGAAGAAAGUGAAGAUUGUAAAUAAUAAUAUGUAAUGACGGUAGUAAAAGAAUAAGCAACGGCUAACUACGUG
rnacentral:rRNA from 1 species